GCAAAACUUCUAAAUUCUCCUCCAUUGGAUCUCGUUUUAAGCUGCAACUACAGCAAUUGAUGGAUACACUAAAUUCAAUAGAACCUCACUACAUUAGAUGCGUAAA